GCCAUUUGGACAACUCGAUGGUAGAGCACAAGACUCUUAAUCUCAGGGUUGUGGGUUCGAGCCCCACAUUGGGCA